rnacentral:lncRNA from 1 species
AUCUGAAAAGUGACAUUUUUCGGCAUAUUUGGUAGAUUGUUCAUAUUUGAGCUUGAAUCGAGUCGUUUUUAAUGACUAAAUCAGUUAAAAUCUUUCACAUAAACUAAUUGAUUCAAAUGAAAUAGACACUUAAGUGUUUAAAAAGGGGUCAAAAUCUUUCGUAAGAUGAACCUGAAAUUUGAGGCCAAAAUCGGUCCUUACCGGACCUACUCCU